GAUGAACGCUGGCGGCGUGCCUAAUACAUGCAAGUCGAGCGAACGGACGAGAAGCUUGCUUCUCUGAUGUUAGCGGCGGACGGGUGAGUAACACGUGGAUAACCUACCUAUAAGACUGGGAUAACUUCGGGAAACCGGAGCUAAUACCGGAUAAUAUUUUGAACCGCAUGGUUCAAAAGUGAAAGACGGUCUUGCUGUCACUUAUAGAUGGAUCCGCGCUGCAUUAGCUAGUUGGUAAGGUAACGGCUUACCAAGGCAACGAUGCAUAGCCGACCUGAGAGGGUGAUCGGCCACACUGGAACUGAAACACGGUCCAGACUCCUACGGGGGGCAGCAGUAGGGAAUCUUCCGCAAUGGGCGAAAGCCUGACGGAGCAACGCCGCGUGAGUGAUGAAGGUCUUCGGAUCGUAAAACUCUGUUAUUAGGGAAGAACAUAUGUGUAAGUAACUGUGCACAUCUUGACGGUACCUAAUCAGAAAGCCACGGCUAACUACGUG
rnacentral:rRNA from 1 species